UACAGAGGUCUCAAGCGUUGUUCGGAUUCAUUGGGCGUAAAGGGUGCGUAGGUGGCGCCAUAUGUCAGGUGUGAAAUCUCGGGGCUUAACUCCGAAACUGCAUUUGAUACUGUGGUGCUUGAGGACUGGAGAGGAGACUGGAAUUUACGGUGUAGCAGUGAAAUGCGUAGAGAUCGUAAGGAAGACCAGUGGCGAAGGCGGGUCUCUGGACAGUUCCUGACACUGAGGCACGAAGGCCAGGGGAGCAAACGGG
rnacentral:rRNA from 1 species